rnacentral:siRNA from 1 species
UGGCUCGGGUGUUAUUCCAGA